GGGGGGGGGGGGAUUUUCCCAAAUGGGGUAAACCAGCAUGGGUUCAAUUGGAUAGGUACACAAAGGCACAAAAUACGGAAGCAUGCAGACAUACACGCAUGCACAUGCAAACACAGACAUAGAGACAUACAAAAAGAUAUCCACACCCACAAAACCAGGACGCACAACACAGAACUUAAGUCUUCCCACAAUGUCUUUAAUUUGCGUCUCACUGAAUAGCAACAAGAAGGACAAUAAACAUGAAAACGAAUAAGAAACCGAUCUUCCAGGAAGUGCAGUGGAAGGAAUUUGCCCCACGAGUUCUCACUGGCGCUUCAGGGGCAGAACCCAGCACGUUUCUUGUGUCCGUUAAGCAUUUCCCGAACCCCUCCCUCUUCUGCUCCGCUGGUCCCGCAGUAACCGCUCCCAGCCCUUGUUCCGAGAAGUUGCCUUUAAGAUUCUUCUCGCCGCGACCUUUCAGCUUGUCCGGCUGCCGCUGUCUGAGGCACCAUGGAGACGCGUUUCAUUCUCAGCCUUUGGGUCUUUAACCAACUAAGUGCGGUGCUGGGUGACUCGGUCCGGUCCAAUGAACCCGAGGUGUCCAGGUCAGAAGGCGUCUCCGUGCCCCUCAGCUGUUCUUACUAUACUAGCUACACUGCUGGUGUCUAUCUCUACUGGUACCGUCAGUAUCCGAACCGCGCCCCGCAGUACAUCCUGCGGAGAGGAGCAAAAGGGAUCAAGACCAGCGAUACCGCAGGUUUCGCCCAGGAGAGGUUUUCUUUGCAGGCUAAUGACAGGUCCACAGCUCUGAACAUCACGGCCCUGGAGCUGGCGGACACAGCGGUGUAUCUCUGCGCCCUGCAGCGCGCACAGUGACAGAGCCACCCAGCAGAGCUGUACAAAAACCCGCUGAGCCUUGCUGCAGUGGCUGUUACAGACAUUAAAUCGGGAAGCAGCAUCUUGGAAGCGAGUCCUGAAGCUGCUUAAAAAUACAAGUCCCCGUAAAAGUUAAAUGUUUAUUUAAAGAGCUAUUUUAAACAUUGCUCUUGGAUAAUAGAAUGGGCAUGGCAUGAUCGUUAAUUAGGAAACUAUUAACACGUCUUUGCCUAGCUUAGGAGGUGACCUGUAUCGGUUUAGGGGGGGGGGAAUCAUUUGUAAUAAAAGAAGGGUUAAAAUUAUGGGUAAAAAUAGAAACAAAAUGAACUACUGUUGGAAAAACAAAUUGAGAUAAAAUGUGAAUGAAAAUUUCAUUGAAAAACGAACAAUAGACUUUUAAAAUACUCCUUAUGUUAACAGUAUAUUGUCCGUAUGGUGAAAUGGGGGUAACAUAUGCAAGUUGAAAUAUGGGGAAAUAGUUAUAGAAAUACCCAUUUUUCAGUGAUGGGAUAAAGCUGCAGUUACCAACUCACCAGUGUUCAA